AUUUUACAGGUUGUUCAUCUCAUUGAAAAAAUGCAUAUUUAUACAUUUAUAGUUUUCGUACAAACUGCUUUUCUUCCGUUAUUUUAUUAAUUCGAUUAUUAGAUUAUUUAUUAAAACACAAUUUUAAUGAUACAACUCUGUAUUUAAACAGUGGCGGAUCCAGGGAGCGUAAAUAGUGUAUGUCCCCCUAAUUGAUCGCUAAAAAAUCAUGUUUUUUCACAAAUUUUUGUAGCCGAUAUUUAUUCCUUUUUGUAUAGGUAACCCCC
rnacentral:lncRNA from 1 species